CCUACGGGUGGCCGUAAGAGGGUACCUGGAGAAAAAGCAUCGGCUAACUCCGUGCCAACAGCCGCGGUAAUACGGAGGAUGCGAGCGUUAUCCGGAUUUAUUGGGUUUAAAGGGUGCGCAGGCGGCGUGUCAAGUCAGCGGUAAAAUGUCGGGGCUCAACCCCGGCCGGCCGUUGAAACUGGCGUGCUCGAGUUGGAGAGAAGUAUGCGGAAUGCGCAGUGUAGCGGUGAAAUGCUUAGAUAUUGCGCAGAACUCCGAUUGCGAAGGCAGCAUACCGGCGGCGAUCUGACGCUGAGGCACGAAAGCGUGGGUAUCGAACAGGAUUAGAUACCCCGGUAGUC
rnacentral:rRNA from 1 species